rnacentral:lncRNA from 1 species
GUCCUAUUAUCCAAAAGAAAAGUCCAUCAAGAAACCCUUGCCAUUAAAUAUAAGCAACUUGAUGAUUUGAAAGCUAAAGUUUUAACUUUAGAAGAAUCUCUUGAAGGGGCUGCUGUGAUCAAAGCUCAACUAGAAACAGUUCCGAAUGAGAACGAGACACUGAAAGAAGAAAAUUUGGCAAUUGCUGACAAGCUCAAGGCUUCAGAUAGUAAAACGGAGAAUAAUGAACAAGAAACAAAAGAUCAAUGAACACAUUAAGAAAAUACAGAAGGAGUUGUUCGAGAUCUAUGAGAAGUGGUCGAACGAAGAACCAAUGAUUUUAGAGUACAAUGAUGAAGCAGAUAAUAGGAUUGAAGAGACCAAGAAAAAUCUUGCCAACUCAGAGAAACACAUCCUAGAGCAGCAAAGUAAAAUUCAAGCCCAAAAAGCACGAAUGGUCAUGCAGCAUGAAGAGUCCGAGAGAAUAAAGCAAGAGAUGAUUGAACAAUGCCAAGCUGCGGAACAGGAAAAGAAGAAAAAAUUAGAAGAAUUGGCAAAAGAAAAGGAACGAUUAUCAUCUAAAUGGGAAGAGGUCCAUAAGAAACUUAAAUCAAGACUGGCCGAAAAAAAUCAAAAUGCAGCUGAAGUUCAACGAGAAUCUGCUGAAAAACUUGCUCUUUACACAAAGAUCCAAAAAAAUAUCGUCCAUUUACAAGAUCUUAUGAAUAUAAAUAUGCUGAAAGACAACAAACAAGUUAUGAAGAGUUUAAAACGGCGCGGUUCACAGGCAACUACAUCAGCUGCCGGUAGCAGUCAGAUACAGGAUGGGCCGUCUGCCGCAGAAAUUAGCUCGCUCUUAGAAGAUCCUUAUGAAUUCUCCGAUAAGGAUGAUCAAACUGCAACCGAACAGCUUCAACAAUCCCAACAGUCAUCUGUAAAGGGUAACACCUCAAAUGAGACACCUAAAAACAAGUACGCAAGGAAAGAAAAAUUAAAGACGAGCGGCAACAAGAUUGGCUUCCAGUACUUUUCACCGAAAGAAUCAGCACAGAAGCCGACUGAACAGUCCACUCCAUCAACCACGAGGACGAGGAAGUCUGGUGCCAAGCACAAGCAGCAACCUAUUGAUGACAUUGAAACUUUACCCAGCCCUGCAAAGAAAUCUACUGGAACUUCUCGUGAAAAAGCUGAGCCUGCGAAAGAUAAUCAUGUGAUUCAGAGCCCGGUGAUCAAAGGCUCUCAAUCACCAGUAUCCGUAUCCAGCAGUCAGGAGUCUAUGACUCCGUUGACGCAGAGUCUCUCUCAGUCUCACUACGCUUUGGAUUUCUCAAAAGAUAAUAAUGAUGGUGAACACAGUGAUGACGUAUUUGACUAAGCCAAUCAAAGUUAUAUUUUAACUGUCUUUUUACUCUCCUCUAUUCAAAUAGCGAUCCACCAUUAUUAAUAUUUUUAAUAAAUGUUUAUAGUAGCUGUGUCUUUUUGAAAAUUUUGUUCCGUUGAAUACUUGAAGACAAGUAUUGACAUUGUUUGUUAAAACAAAUCGAAACAAUAUUUCAAUCUUCCAAGGUACUGUAAUCAAAGUACUCUUUCCAAUGUUUCAGUAAUCUUUUCUUUAUGCAAAGAAUAAUCAUUCUUCUUUUUAUUUUUACUACAAAUUGAGAGACAUUUUUUUGUUAGGGUUGCACCCAUCUGUUUUAAAGUAUAAAUUUUAAAUUCUGUUAUUUUUUAAUGCUUUACAAACAGAAUUUUAAAAUUUUGUUCUAUCGAAUACUUUAGAAGACAAAUAUUGACAUUGUUUGUUAAAACAAAUCAAAACAAUAUUUCAAUCUUCCAAGGUACUGUAAUCAAAGUACUCUUUCCAAUGUUUCAGUAAUCUUUUCUUUAUGCAAAGAAUAAUCAUUCUUCUUUUUAUUUUUUACUACAAAUUGAGAGACAUUUUUUGUUAGGGUUGUACCCAUCUAUUUUUAAGUAUAAAUUUUAAAUUCUGUUAUUUUUUAGUUCUGUACGAACAUAAUUUACAAAUGCCAGCUUCUCAUUUUAACUUUUUCCCAACCUUUGACAAGAAGUGUUCCCCAGUCUCUAUGUGUGUCUCGCUAUGUAUUGAAUACUUUAAACAGCGGUAGUACUUAAUGACAUGUCGCACUUAGUCAAUUGGAAUAUUUUAAUCUUCUUAAUUCUAUCUUCUAUUUCAACAAUGAUCAUGUUCAAUCCUUUCUUCCCUUUUGAUUAAAAUUGUAAAAACUCAGUUUUCUUAAUAAGAGUUGAACUAAAUUACUGUUUUUAAUACAUAUUUUCAAGUCUAAUUUUUGGGUUUUUUUUGUGCACUGCAUAUUUUACUAAUUCCAAAUUAUA